GAAAGUAGGGUGCACAUGCCAAGCUGCCCCAAAAAUUAAGAUCAGUGUGCCGAAAAGCCGAAAGAUCUGUGGUUCUCCAAGGAUAAACCCGGUUUCAAGCCCCAAACGGGGUCUGAGCUUUGCCAGUCGAUCUCGGUUUCUCCAGUGUAAUUUAAUAUUGACGAAAGUUAUCCAACGGAGGUCAAACUUCUGCCGCACAACGAAAAUUUGCGAUCAACCUUAUUUUUGACCUUGGCAGAGGACAUACAGUUGCCUCUGAAAUUCUAUGUCGUGGCCUGGAUAGGCACAGACAUAUCCAUAUCGGAUGUCUUCAAGGAAAAGGAUUGACACACACACACACACACACUGAAUUCAACCGACACAUCAAUGCAUGCAGGCCUGUUGCAGCGAUGGAAAACCAAACGUUAGCACCAGAAUCUCUUGUAUGUGUUUAGCUGGAACAACUGAAAGAUCCCCCCCAUCCGACGAGCCCUAGCCGAAAGAUCCCACACAGUGCUAACCAUAACAUCUAUGCAAGUUGUCUAGUUUGUGGAAUGCGUCUCGAAAGCUACCACACCAGAACACCGGGACACAUUACAAAAGUGGCGCCCAACGUGGGGCACGAUACAACAACAACCGUAACAAAACUUUGUGUCUCAGUUAUUGUCAGCAUAUAGAAUUUUUGCUUUUGUUUCCUUUCUGGAAAACUGCAAUGGUUGGUGCAAGUCACAGUCCAUUCUGUCCGAAACGAUGAGGGAGCAUCGGGUCUAUAUGCGUGCCAGGAGCUAAGUGGAAGAAAAUUGUAUUAAUGUCUGUGGAAAUCUUUAAGAUUUAGAAUGCUAGUCAUUAAAUCUUGCUGCCCGGAACAAUUGGUAUAUUUUUUUUCUGAAGCUUCAGCUCGUGUUGAAGACAAUAUUUUUUUG